rnacentral:rRNA from 1 species
CAGUCGCCGCGGGAACACGGAGGGUGCAAGCGUUAUCCGGAUUUAUUGGGUUUAAAGGGUCCGUAGGCGGACUUAUAAGUCAGUGGUGAAAGCCUGUCGCUUAACGAUAGAACUGCCAUUGAUACUGUAAGUCUUGAGUAUAUUUGAGGUAGCUGGAAUAAGUAGUGUAGCGGUGAAAUGCAUAGAUAUUACUUAGAACACCAAUUGCGAAGGCAGGUUACCAAGAUAUAACUGACGCUGAGGGACGAAAGCGUGGGUAGCGAACAGGAUUAGAUACCCCGGUAGUCCCUGUCUCUUAUAC